GGAGAAGUACUUAAGUAAGUAAGAGGCGCCCCUGCUUUUGGCAGUGAGAGGGUUCAAAUCCCUCCUUCUCCG
rnacentral:tRNA from 1 species